rnacentral:lncRNA from 1 species
UUUUUUUUUAGUUAAUCACUUUUUUUUUGGAUUAAAAGGCAUAUGACUUUUUAAGGAACAAUAUUUUUUAAAUACCUACUGUUUCUUAUAUUUUAUUCAUCAAUUUUUUUAUUUAAUAUGAUAUGAAAUAUUAAGAUUUAUCUUUAUUUUUUUAUUUAUUUGAUUUUUCUAUCCAAAAAGAAAUUAUGCUUCAUAUGAUCCGAUCUAUCUAACCUACAGCCUAACUCAACCCGUCUUAUCCUGCCCCAUGCCAUCCCAUCUCUAGGUGAGUAUGAGUCUGAUAUAGUUAAUGGCCUACUUGAUCCAUUACCAUCCCUAGAUAGCAAUCAUAGUGGUUUCCAAGAGCUAAGCUAUUUAUGACAUGCCGCAUCAGUUUAGGAAUCAUUUGGAUAAAUAGUUUGGAGCAUCUAAUUUUUCAUUUUAGAACCACAUUGUAAUAACAUCCUAGGACAAAUAUUAUUGUACUAUUUCUUGAACAUAAUAUUCUUUUUAGUUAAUCAAUUUUUUCUAUUAUAGCAAAUAAUGUUAUAAUGGUCA